UUGAACGCUGGCGGCAUGCUUUACACAUGCAAGUCGAACGGCAGCGGGGGCUUCGGCCUGCCGGCGAGUGGCGAACGGUUGAGUAAUGCAUCGGAACGUACCCAGUCGUGGGGGAUAACUACGCGAAAGCGUAGCUAAUACCGCAUACGUCCUGAGGGAGAAAGCGGGGGAUCUUCGGACCUCGCGCGAUUGGAGCGGCCGAUGUCGGAUUAGCUAGUAGGUGAGGUAAAGGCUCACCUAGGCGACGAUCCGUAGCGGGUCUGAGAGGAUGAGCCGCCACACUGGGACUGAGACACGGCCCAGACUCCUACGGGAGGCAGCAGUGGGGAAUUUUGGACAAUGGGCGCAAGCCUGAUCCAGCCAGGCCGCGUGAGUGAAGAAGGCCUUCGGGUUGUAAAGCUC
rnacentral:rRNA from 1 species